CCCAACAAUGCCAACGGUCAGAGGAGUGUUUGCUAAUUCUAUAUACCACAUGUGUCGCUGGUAAAAUUCAUCCUUACUGGAGCGCGAAUGACUGCGCAGGAUCCCUCGUUAUUCUCCCGUAACAACACGGUACCUCCAGCAAGGUCAUUACUCAGCAGGGACGCAGGAACAGUGCUGGAGUAUUUAUGAACCAAGUCAUCCCACAUACAAAAGUCAUGGCAGACGGGGAGGCUUCCCUCACUUAACAAAUGAAGAGAUAUGUGACAAAUGCAAGGGAACAGAGUACUAGAGGCUUGAACUGCUGGCAUCUCGUUAGUAAAAACAGUGUGUGUGUGUUCAGAAGCCCUUAAUGUGGCAGUAAGCCUCGAGUGAGGAGAAGAGGAUAUAGAGAAG